UACGGGGGGGGCAAGCGUUGUUCGGAAUUACUGGGCGUAAAGGGCUCGUAGGCGGCCAACUAAGUCGGACGUGAAAUCCCCGAGCUCAACUCGGGAACUGCGUCCGAUACUGGCGGGCUUGAAUCCGGGAGAGGGAUGCGGAAUUCCAGGUGUAGCGGUGAAAUGCGUAGAUAUCUGGAGGAACACCGGUGGCGAAGGCAGGUCUCUGGGCCACUACUGACGCUGAGAAGCGAAAGCAUGGGGAGCGAACAGG
rnacentral:rRNA from 1 species